rnacentral:rRNA from 1 species
GAUGAACGCUGGCGGCGUGCCUAACACAUGCAAGUCGAACGGAGUUCUUAAGGAAUGCGACUUCGGUCAAAUGACUUUUGAACUUAGUGGCGGACGGGUGAGUAACGCGUGAGCAACCUGCCUUUCAGAGGGGGAUAACAUUUGGAAACAGAUGCUAAUACCGCAUAAGAUUACAGUACCGCAUGAUACAGUGAUCAAAGGAGCAAUCCGCUGAAAGAUGGGCUCGCGUCCGAUUAGAUAGUUGGUGAGGUAACGGCUCACCAAGUCGACGAUCGGUAGCCGGACUGAGAGGUUGAACGGCCACAUUGGGACUGAGACACGGCCCAGACUCCUACGGGAGGCAGCAGUGGGGAAUAUUGCACAAUGGGCGAAAGCCUGAUGCAGCAACGCCGCGUGAGGGAAGACGGUUUUCGUAUUGUAAACCUCUGUUUUCGGUGACGAACAAAUGACGGUAACCGAGUAGGAAGCCACGGCUAACUACGUGCCAGCAGCCGCGGUAAUACGUAGGUGGCAAGCGUUAUCCGGAAUUACUGGGUGUAAAGGGAGCGCAGGCGGGAUAGCAAGUCAGCUGUGAAAACUAUGGGCUCAACCCAUAAAUUGCAGUUGAAACUGUUAUUCUUGAGUGGAGUAGAGGCAAGCGGAAUUCCGAGUGUAGCGGUGAAAUGCGUAGAUAUUCGGAGGAACACCAGUGGCGAAGGCGGCUUGCUGGGCUCUAACUGACGCUGAGGCUCGAAAGUGUGGGGAGCAAACAGGAUUAGAUACCCUGGUAGUCCACACUGUAA